rnacentral:rRNA from 1 species
GAUGAACGCUAGCUACAGGCUUAACACAUGCAAGUCGAGGGACCGGCGCACGGGUGAGUAACACGUAUCCAACCUGCCCUUUACUCGGGGAUAGCCUUUCGAAAGAAAGAUUAAUACCCGAUGUAAAGGAUGGGGAUGCGUUCCAUUAGGUUGUUGGGGAGGUAACGGCUCACCACGCCUUCGAUGGAUAGGGGUUCUGAUAGGAAGGUCCCCCACAUUGGAACGGCGACACGGUCCAAACUCCUACGGGAGGCAGCAGUGAGGAAGAUUGGGCAAUGGGCGUUAGCCUGAACCAGCCAAGUAGCGUGAAGGAUGAAGGCUUAUGGGUCGUAAACUUCUUUUAUAUAAGAAUAUGUAUUAUAUGAAUAAGGAGCGGCUAACUCCGUGCCAGCAGCCGCGGUAAUAC